rnacentral:rRNA from 1 species
AGGACGAACGCUGGCGGCGUGCUUAACACAUGCAAGUCGAACGAGGUGCUUGCACCUAGUGGCGAACGGGUGAGUAACACGUGAGCAACCUGCCCUUGGCUCUGGGAUAGCCUCCGGAAACGGGGAUUAAUACCGGACAUGACCUUGGUCUGCAUGGACUGAGGUGGAAAGUUUUUCGGCCAGGGAUGGGCUCGCGGCCUAUCAGCUUGUUGGGGGGUAACGGCCCACCAAGGCGACGACGGGUA